GGGCUCACACAAGCGGUGGAGCAUGUGGCUUAAUUCGAGGCUACGCGAAGAACCUUAUCCUGGACUUGACAUGUCCGAAAGGGGCAGGAAGUAGCGUGCGGAAACGUUACGCGAACGGUAUCCAGUCCGGAACCUGCCACAGGUGCUGCAUGGCUGUCGUCAGCUCGUGUCGUGAGAUGUCGGGUUAAGUCCCAUAACGAGCGAAACCCCUGUCUCCAGUUGCCAGCAGUUCGGCUGGGGACUCUGGAGAGACUGCCGGCGUCAAGCCGGAGGAAGGUGGGGAUGACGUCAAGUCCUCAUGGCCUUUACGUCCAGGGCUGCACACGUGCUACAAUGGCGUGAACAAAGGGAAGCCAACGCGCGAGCGGGAGCCAAUCCCAAAAAACACGCCCCAGUUCAGAUUGAAGGCUGCAACUCGCCUUCAUGAAGUUGGAAUCGCUAGUAAUCGCGGGUCAGCAACACCGCGGUGAAUGUGUUCCUGAGCCUU
rnacentral:rRNA from 1 species